rnacentral:miRNA from 1 species
ACGUAUACUAAAUGUAUCCUGA